AACUUCAAAUGAUUAAAUUAAAGUUGUUGCAAUUAAAAAUCUUGUAGAUGAACUUGUGGCCUGGAUGGCCUGGAUAGCUUGGUCUGGCGCUUAUGCGUGAGUACUUGAGCCAUCCAAUCAUCCCUGGGUGGACCCUGUGUGGUAUUAAGUUGUCAUGUAGAGGAUGCCCAUUCUUUACUGUGAAAAACUAGAGUGUUCAAAGCAGGCUUAUGCCAUUGAAUAUAUUAGCAUGGAAUAAUGAUGUAGGACUUUUGUACUAUUUUGUUUGUUAGUGCACUAAAGUAUUGACUAAUAGAGACAGUUGGGAAUAUUAGUAUUGCUAGGUCAGUGGUGAAGUUCUUGGAUUCUUUAAAGACUAACUACAGCGAAAGCAUUUAUUAAGGAUGUUUUCA
rnacentral:rRNA from 1 species